GAUGAACGCUGGCGGCGUGCCUAAUACAUGCAAGUCGAGCGAACAUUCGAGGACUUUCUCCCACUAACUAUAGCCGCGCGCGGGAGUAUAACAUGUGGAUACUGCCUCUAAAAGUCUGAUAACACCUCGAAACCCCGGCUCAUAUCCCGUAACAUAUAAUAACACACAUCGUUCAAUAGAAAAAGAGCGUUUUGCUAUCACUUACAGAUGGAUCCGCGCCGCAUUAGCUAGUUGGUAAGGUAACGGCUUACCAAGGCGACGAUGCGUAGCCGACCUGAGAGGGUGACGGCCCACCCGGGAACUGAGACACGGUCCAGACUCCUAGGGAAGGAAGAGGAAGGGAAUCUUCCGCAAAGGGCGAAGUCCUGCGGGAGCAACGCCGCGUGGGUGAGGAGGGUCUUGGGUUCGAAAGACUCGUUGAUAAGGGAGGAACAAAAGUGUAAGUAAAUAUGCACGUCUUGACGGUACCUAAUCAGAAAGCCACGGCUAACUACGUG
rnacentral:rRNA from 1 species